AAAAGAGAUAAAUUAGCGAUCUUCGUUGAAAACAACGAACGACUCCUAGAUCUUCUUCCAAUCUAAUUUGUAAACCAUUUAUAAGUCGUUCUUAACUCAACAUUUGGGUAACAGGGGUUGCACUGUCAUGUUACAACUAGUGCAAAGAGUAGAAUACAUUAACUCCCAAUUCAUAGGUUAUUAUGAUAUUUAUAUAUGGUGGAAACCCUUUCUUGAUAUAGCUAUAGUCCAAAUAAUGCAAUUAUAUUCUAACAGGGUGAUAGGAGAAAGGUGUGAAGAUGUUAGUGUGAAGAU
rnacentral:lncRNA from 1 species